CUUGGCUUAAUAUUCCCGCAAUAUAUACGUUUUUUCAGCUUCAGGUAUCCCGCUCCCAACAGACCCCAAAUCAUCACUUUCCCUCGCCGGAGAUCUAAGAAACCCUUGAAUUGGAAAGGAUUGCUUCGUAGUCACGCAAUAUAUAUACGUUCGUUUGUCAUUCCUCUAUGAACAAACCCAAACACCCCCUAGACCCAUAGCGAUCUAUGCAAUUCAGCUGCCGGCUGCCGGAGACUUAAACGCCUCCAACCUUCGCAGGAGACUCUCACUCAACUCUCUAGUCCAAGAAAUUAUCAAGAUCGUUGAUAACUGGAGCAGUCAAGGGUUUUGGUCAUAAUCAAGAAGAAGCAGAUAUGAGGAUGAACAAACCUGUUCUUCUGAUUCAACAGAAACAACUAGAAGAAGAAGCUAACAAUGCUACCCAGAAAAAGAAUUAAGAAAACCUGAAAAGCCAACCAAGUCACUCACCUCUAAUAAGGUACUUCUGAUGACCGUGGGAAGGAGAAGGCAUGGCGUACACUUCCUCAUAUUUGGAUUUGGAUUUCUGGGAUACUCUGUUAUGGAAUUAUUUUGAAAACAAUCUGUAAUAAAUAAUGGUUUUGGAUAAUUUAAAAAGGUUUAAAAUUUUGUGAA